CGUAGCCGGAAACCAGCACGGGCGUCGAGGCAACUCUACGCCCGUGCACGCAUGUUAGGGGCUAGUAAGAAAAU
rnacentral:sRNA from 1 species